rnacentral:lncRNA from 1 species
GAAAAGCACAUUGAAACCCAGCAGUGUCCCUGCGGGAGAGGUACAGUGGGCCCCUUGGUGGUGAAACCGACCUGACAACGGAGCGGAUCACAGAGCCCAUUGCCGGCGUCUGUCUUCAGUUCCACAACAGACCUUUAUGUGCAUGCUCUCAGGAGAUCUCUGAGAAAUGAUACAGCCAGCAGCCUAAGCUUUACCCCACAACAGAUUCGGGCUCAAUCUAGUUUGCCCGUUUGCUUUGAAUUCCAUUUUGUUGAUUAAGAGAAAGAAGAGCCCGCUUAGAUAUAAAGUCCCUGCCAAAAUACAUCCCUCCUACGCAGGCUUCCUCAGCUUCCCUUUCUUAUUUUCGCCUCUUGUGGACUAUUUCCACCUCCACUCGCUCUUUUCAUGCUGUAUUUGUUCCUCAGCUUAUCCAGUGCCACUGUGAAUGUCCUUCUGUCCUAGCACGUCAUUAACUGUUGGGCUGAGAGACCAGCUGGAAGGGGGUGAAGGAAUGGCAGCACAAUCUAAACCGCUCUGACUGUGCUCCCCCACCUGUGCCAAGCAGGCAGAUGGCACAGCCGAGCUCCGCGCCUUAUGUGAGUUGCUAAGGUGUGAAUGCUUGUGUGUCCCCAAACUGUGUGUGUUGAAAUCCUAACUCCCGAUGUGGUGGUAUUAGGAGGUGGUUAGGUCUUAAGGGAAGAGCCCUCAUGAAUGGGAUUAGCACCUUUACAAGAGACCCCAGGGUAAUUCCCUGUCUCUUCUGCCUUGUGAGGAUAUAAUAAGAUGGCCAUCUAAGAAUCAGGGAAAUCUGCUACCUUAAUCUUAGACCUCCCAGCCUUCAGCACUGAGAAGUGAAUUUGUUGUUUAUAAGCUAUCUAGUUUAUGAUGUUUUGUUGGAAUAGCCCAGACAUGGGUUAGUAUUUUGUUUGC